GGGAAGGUAGCUCAGUGGUAGAGUGCUUGCCUUGCAAGCAAGAGACCCUGGGUUCGAUUCCUCAGCACCA
rnacentral:tRNA from 1 species